rnacentral:rRNA from 1 species
GGCUGAAAUUCGCCUUCCAUGAAGCUGGAAUUGCUAGUAAUGGCAGGUCAGCAUACUGCCGUGAAUACGUUCCCGGGCCUUGUACACACCGCCCGUCACACCAUAAGAGUUGGGAAUACCCGAAGCCUGUGAGCUAACUGUAAGGAGGCAGCAGUCGAAGGUAGAAUCAAUGAUUGGGGUGAAGUCGUAACAAGGUACC